ACUGUCCUGAGCAGCUGCCACAGGAGACCCAGCCCAAGCUCUGCAUGCAGAAAGGCACAUGGCAAGAAAUUCCCAUCCUGCACACGUGGAUGUGAUGGACACCCUCACUCCUUAAAUUUUGAGGCAACUAGACUGAAAAGGGCUCUUGCUUGAUUUAAACAAUUGAACUCUUCCUUUUGGCUCAGGCAUCUUGUUGCUUCUUGCACUGGCUUUGCCACUGACCUUGGAGAGCCGGUCAAAGUCUUGGAGGUGGAAACGAACUGCCAACUGA
rnacentral:lncRNA from 1 species